rnacentral:lncRNA from 1 species
GGGCGGCGGAGGACCGAGGCAAGGGUUUGGCGCCGUAGGUAGCAGCUACCGGGACUUUAUGCAUUUUGUAGUCAUUCCUUUUUGGGUAUACAUGUAUCAACUUUACCUUGUUAAUUAGAGAUGCGAAGUGUAAACAAUCAUGUAUUUGGUGGAUGACUAAAUGUAAAAAGAUAUAAUAGAUGAAUGUAAUAGUUUUACUUGAAUUUGGUUUAAAUGUAAUCAAAUAUCAUGUAUAUUGCAUAAUUAGCUUAGAGCUUU